GCGGGCAUGGUGGAAUAGGUAGACACAAGAGACUUAAAAUCUCUCGGGGGCAACCCUGUGCCGGUUCGAGUCCGGCUGCCCGCA
rnacentral:tRNA from 1 species